CUUUCUCCGACUCAGACUAAUCACGAGAAAGACGCGCUUACGGACCGCCCUUAGGUCCCAGAAGAACCAAUACGGGCUUCUGUGUUCUUAGUCCCGCCCCCAGCCAGGCUGGGUUUUUCCGCCCUUUUCCUUCAUUUCCUGGAACCCGGUUCUGUUUAAAAAAUCCGCGAGCCACACCCGACGGCGGCUGCACCAAUCACUUCAGCAACAGCUCCGGAUCGACCAAUGAACGAUCUCACUUUGUAGAUCAGGCUGGCCUUGGACGGACAGAGAUCAAGAGCUGGGAUUAAAGGCAUGGGCUGCCACAUCUGGCGUGAGCCCCUGGUUUUAACCAUGGGUUUGGAUCUGUGCACUGAAGCUCAUCUUUGAGUGAAGACUAUGGCUGCCCCACCAUGAGAAAUCAGCAGUAGCCAGCAGUUCAACAAGAAGGGACAGGGUCCCAUGAAUCCUUCCCUUCCUUAACCCCAAUUGCCUGGUCACUGGUCCAGGCUCUACAGGCAACCACAGCUACUGAGACCUGCCAUGGCUCUGUCAUGCUCUUGAGAUUACUGACAAUGUUUUCUUUACUUUU